CAAGCACCAUUUAUUAAAUAGGGAAUCGUUUCCCCAUUUCUUGUUUUUGUCAGGUUUGUCAAAGAUCAGAUGGUUGUAGAUGUGUGGUAUUAUUUCUGAGGGCUCUGUUCUGUUCCAUUGGUCUAUAUCUGUGUUUUGCUUACUGUAGCCUUGCAGUAUAGUUUGAAGUCAGGUAGCGUGAUGCCUCCAGCUUUGCUCUUUUGGCUUAGGAUUGUCUUGGCAAUGUGGGCUCUUUUUUGAACUUUAAAGUAGUUUUUUCCCAUUCUGUGAAAAAAGUCAUCAGUAGCUUGAUGGGGAUGGCAUUGAAUCUAUAAAUUACCUUGGGCAAUAUGGCCAUUUUCAUGAUAUUGAUUCUUCCUAUCCAUGAGCAUAAAAUGUUCUUCCCUUUGUUAGUUGCAUACAUUUCUAAAGUAUUUUUUGUUUAAAGACUUAAUGAAAUUAUAUUAGAUCAGUUUGAUUUUCCAAAGGAUACAGACAAAUGCAUUUUUCAAUGUAAAAACAACCCUACAGUACUUUUGGUAAACAUGUAUAAUGUACCUCUGUUUUAGCAUGUGUUCCUUUAAGAACAAUGUAUUAUUUUGUUGGUUUUGCCGAUAAAAUCAUAAAGAAUUAUAACAAAAUGAAAGUUCAAAAUAAAAUGCAUGUUUGUAUGCUUACAGACGGAAAACUCUGUCAUUUUGGCUAGUUAUCAAUCAAAAAAUAUUCAUUGGUUUUUCUAUAUGGAGCCCAGCUUUCUAAUUAGGUCCUACAUGGAUACAGAGCAAAUGCAGUAGGUGUUCUUACAUUCAGGAAUCAUUGUAAAUAAAAUAGGACUUAAGUUAGUUCUUGAAUCAUUAGUUAUAAUUCUUAAAUAAAAGUACCUCAUACAGAUUGGAAUUGGUGGUAGCAGCUUACUUUUCCCAUGAUCAGUAUAAGACAAUUGUUAAUAUUUAAUUUUGAAGAAAAUAAAAUGCCUCACUUUUAUUCCUCUAAGACACAUCAUUCUCUGUAAGAAGAGGUUUAUAAAUUACGUAAUAGGUCACAGGUAACUUCUCUUCAUCCUUAUGAAUUGAGAAUUACACCACUGGAUGCAAUAGAGUUACUCUGGAAAAUUAAAUAACCUUUGUAUUAAAAAGAAAAUAUUCUCUAUUGUUGUAGUACACUAAGCAAAAUGACUUGAUUUCAUUUUUUAUUCUUACUGCUUACCUCAAGAGCAGUCUAUUGCUGAGACGUGACAGCGUGCUGGCAGGCAGCCCUCGCUCGCUCUCGGCGCCUCCUCUGCCUGGGCUCCCACUUUGGUGGCACUUGAGGAGUCCUUCAGCCCGCCGCUGCACUGUGGGAGCCCCUUCCUGGGCUGGCAGAGGCCGGAGCCGGCUCCCUCAGCUUGCAAGGCGGUGUGGAGGGAGAGGCGCAGGCGGGAACCAGGGCUGCGCGCGGCGCUUCCGGGCCAGCGUGAGUUCCGGGUGGGCGUGGACUCGGCGGGCCCGGCACUCAGAGCGGCCUGCUGGCCCCGCCUGCCCUGGGCAGUGAAGGGCUUAGCACCUGGUCCAGCAGCUGCUGUGCUCGAGUUCUCGCGGGGCCUUAGCUGCCUCCCCGCGGGGCAGGGCUUGGGACCUGCAGCCCGCCAUGCCUGAGCUUCCCCCCGCCCCCGCCGUGGGCUCCUGUGCGGCCCGAGCCUCCCCGACGAGCGCCGCCCCCUGCUCCACGAUGCCCAGUCCCAUCGACCACCCAAGGGCUGAGGAGUGCGGGCUCACGGUUACAGGAUUCCCAUUUCAGAACUACGACCAUUUGAAAAAUAGAAGAUUUAAAGAUUGACGCAAAGUGCAUGUACCAUGAUACACCAGAGCUUUGGGCAAGGUGACUUUCUGCAUAGGAGGCUGGUCCUGAAGGAAUUGACACCUGGAGUCUGUUCAGUGACUGCAUUCUCUGAAGCUCUACAUAGAUGUCUUCCUUGAAGUGUGACCUAGGUGUGAUGUCUUCAUGUCUACCACACACCACCAAAAAAAGUAAUGCUAUAUUAGUAACAAUGUUUUUCAUAAUGUCCUAAAUCUGGGAACUACCUAAUGUAUCAAAUUGAAAUGCAUAAAUAUAAUGCAGAAUAUUGAUAUAAUGUUAUAGCAUUGAUAUUUGAUAGGGUUUGGCUGUGUCCCCACCCAAAUCUCAUCUUGAAUGCCCACAUGUUGUGGGACAGAACUUGUAGGAGGUAAUUGAAUCAUGAAGGCAGGUCUUUCCCAUGCUGUUCUCGUGAUAAUGAAUAAGUCUCACAAGAUCUGAUGGUUAUAUAAGAAGGAGUUUCCCUGAACAAGCUUUCUCUUUACCUGCUGCUAUCCAUGUAGAAUAAGACUUGCUCCUCCUUGCCUUCCACCAUAAUUGUGAGGCCUCCCAAUCCAUGUGGAACUGUAAGUCUAUUAAACCUCUUUCUUUAGUAAAUUACCCAGUCUUUGGUAUGUCUUUAUCAGCAGCGUGAGAACAGACUAAUACAGUAAAUUGGUACCAAUAGAGUGGGUCGCUGCUGAAAAGAUACCCAAAAAUGUGGAAGGGACUUCGGAACUGCAUAACAGGCAGAGAUUGGAACAGUUUGGAGGGCUCAGAAGAAGACAGGAAAAUGUGAGAAACUGUGGAACUCUCUAGAGACUUGUGAAAUGGCUUUCACCAAAAUGUCGAUAAUGAUAUUGGCAAUGAAAUCUAGGCUGAGCUUAUCUCAGAUGGAGAUGACGAACUUGUUGGGAACUGGAGCAAAGGUGACUCUUGUUAUGUUAUAGCAAUGAGACUGGCGGCAUUUUGCCCCUACACUAGAUAUUUCUGAAACUUUAAACUUGAGAGAGAUGAUUUAGGGUAUCUUCCAGAAGAAAUUUCUAAGCAGCAAAACAUUCAAGAGGUAACUUGGGUGCUGUUAAAGGCAUUCAGUUUUACAAGGGAGGCAGAGCAUAAAAUUUUGGAAAAUCUACAGCCUGAAGAUGUGCUAGAAAAGAAAAUCCCAUUUUCUGAGGAGAAAUUUCAAGCUGCCUGCAAAAAUUUGCUUAAGUAACAAAGAGCCAAAUGUUAAUCCCCAAGACAAUGGGGAAAAUGUUUCAAGGACAUGUCAGAGGACUUCAUGGCAGCCUCUCCCAUCACAGACUCAAAGGCCUAGGAGGAAAAAAUGGUUUCUUGGGCCAGGCCCAGGGUCUGUAUGCUGUGUGCAGCCUAGGGACCUGGUGCCCUGCAUCCCAGCUGCUACAGGCAUGGCUGAAAGAGGCCAAUAUAGAGCAUGGGCCGUCGCUUCAGAGAGUGCAAGCCCCAAGCCUUGGCAGCUUCCACAUGAUGUUGAGCCUGCGAGUGCAACGAAGUCAAGAAUUGGGGUUUGAGAACCUCCACCUAGAUUUCAGAAGAUGUAUGGAAAUGCCUGGAUGCCCUGGCAGAAAUUUUGCUGCAGGGGUGUGGCCCUAAUGGAGAACCCCUGCUAAGGCAGUGUGGAAGGGAAAUGUGGGGUUGGAGCCCUUCACACAGAAUCUCUACUGGGGCAUUUCCUAGUGGAACUGUGAGAAGAGGGCCACCAUCCUCCAGACCCCAGAAUAGUAGAUCCACUGAGAGCUUGCACCGUGCGCCUGGAAAAGCGCCAGCACUCAACACCAGCCCAUGAAAGCAGCCGAGAAGGAGACUGUACCUUACAAAGCUACAGGGGUGGAGCUGCCCAAGACCAUGGGAACUCAUCUCUUGCCUCAGCAUGACCUGGAUGUGAGACAUGGAGUCAAAGGAGACCAUUUUAGAGCUUUAAUAUUUGACUGCCCUGCUGGAUUUCAAACUUGCAUGGGGCCUGUAGCCCCACUCUUUUGACCAAUUUCUCCCAUUUGAAAUGGAUGUAUUUACACAAUGCCUGUAACCCCAUUGUAUCUAGGAAGCAACUAACUUGCUUUUGAUUUUACAGGCUCAUAGGCUGAAGGGACUUGCCUUGUCUCAAAUGAGACGUUGGACUGUGGACUUUUGAGUUAAUGCUGAAAUGAGAUAGGUCUUUGGGGUACUAUUGGGAAGGCAUAAUUGGUUUUGAAAUGUAAUGGCAUGAGAUUUGGGAGGGGGUGGGGUGGAAUGAUACGGUUUGUCUGUGUACCCACCCAAAUCUCAUCUUGAGUUCCCUCUCUUGUGGGAGGGACCUGGUGGGAGGUAAUUGAAUUAUGGGGUCAGAUCUUUUCUGUGCUGUUCUCAUGAAUAGUGAAUAAGUCUCACAAGAUUUGAUGGUUCUAUAAGGGGGAGUUUUCCUGCAUAAGCUCUCUCUCUACCAUCCAUGUAAGAAGUGAUUUUCUCCUCUUUGCCUUCCACCAUACUUGUGAGGCCUCCAGAGCCAUGUGGAACAAGUUCAUUAAGUGUCUUUCUUUUGUAAAUUGGCCAGUCUCAGGUAUGUUUUUAUCAGCAGCAUGAGAACAAACUAAUACAAGCCUAUAGAAGUAACAAUUAACAUAGAUACUCUAUACAAGAGCGUAGGUCCAUUUAACAAACAUAUUACUUAGGAAAAAGACAAAAUACUGUCUAUGAUGCCAUUCAUAUAAAAUUUAAAAACAACCAUAACAUGUCUAUGAUGCCACACAGUAAGGAAAGCAGGGCAUGUGGUAGCCACAUCUCCCUUUAAAAAAAUGUCUGGAGAGGCCUGCAGUCACUUUACCCUCAUCCAAGCUGCACCCUCUUAUUGGUCUCUUAAAUGGGGCAAUGAGAAUACAGGAAUAGCACAGAUUAAAGAUAGUAAGAGUGUCUGCAAUAUUCCAUACAGUCUUGUACUCCAUCUUAUUAAAACAAAACCACCCAUGUCCUCAGUUUUGUGACCCAUUAUGUUUCUUCUUUGGCUGAAACUAUUUUGAGUUGCUUCCCAGACACUUGUCUUAUAAAGGGCCUGCAAUGCACAGACUCUUAGAAACCAGUGCCCAGUUUAUAUCAUCAGUUUGACUUUUGGAGAAACUGGGGAAGGUAGAUAAAAUUAUAUAUAUAUACAAACACGCACACACACAUAUAUAUAUACACACACACAUAUAUAAUAACGCAUCUAUGAUGCAUAUAUAUAAUGCAUAUGCACAUGUAUGGUACAUAUAUGAGGCAUAUAUAUACAUCAUAUGUGUGUCAUACAUUUAUCAUUUAUAUAUGUAUCAUAUAUGUAUGUAAAUAUUUUAUUCCUUUUACUGUGUCAGAUGUCCAUUUGGGAAAAUAAUAAGAUUAAUGAGAAAAUAUGAAAUAAGCUUUUGGUAUAGUACUGUUCAAUGAAAUUUUAUGAAUGCCUGUCUUAUUUCAAAACAGUGCACUUAAUAAGAAUAAUCAAUCUCAUAUUACCUUCCAGUUUUAAUGUUAGUGAAUAAGACUGAUAAUUUAAUAAAUCUUAGGAUGAUGGUGUGUAUAUAGUCUCUAAGUAACAUGGUGAAGACCAGUUGGUUAAGCCUGGUGAUGCAGCAACUCAAUUGUAAGAACUAAACUGUAACAAUUGAACUUAAAUAAAAGACAAAUGAAUGAAAAAAAUUAUAUUUUAAUGCUCAAAAUUAUUCUUCAUUGUUGUUGGAGGUAUGAAUAACAGAAAAUGAAUUAUGUUAUUUCCUAAGCAUAUAAUGGGUAGAAAUAAGAAUGUCUUUUGAAAUUUUUUUUACCAGUUUAAAAAUAUGACAUUAAAAUUGCAUUUGUGCAGGAAAUAAUACAACGGGUAUGAAAGAAAGAAAAAGAAAAGUUUUUUGCUGUGAGGAAUAUAUUUUUUCUCCUAAGGAUAUGUCACUUUCACCCAAGUAAUCUGGUUGCCACAUUGCAAUAUUUCACCUGACAAUAAAAAAAUCAUUGUAUGUUAUUCUUCUUCUGUCCCUGGAGAAUAUGAACGUUAAUGAUAACAGCAUUGUGUCUACCUAAAUGAAAACAAAAACCUAAUUGUAAUAAUCCAGUACAUACAAGUGUGCCAUAAUGAAAAAUAAAGUAAAAUAUUUAUUCAGA
rnacentral:lncRNA from 1 species